GCAAGAGCCACUUUUGGUCUGAGGAUGAGACUACUGGACUAAACUUAUGUUAACAGAGACGGCAAGUCUUAAUAUACAUUUAUUAGAUGGGAGGAUGUACAGAAAUAGUGAGACCAUGAAAAUAAUUUAAAAAAGGAUGGCUGAGGAGGGUUUUCUCAGGACCGUCGAACAAGUAAGAUCAUGUCGAUGGAAAGUCUCUCAGGAAAACUUAGCUACUACGAUGUAAAAAAAAACCCAACAUACUAAGUGGGUCAGACCGUGCAACAUGUAUUUUUUUACGGAGUUGGAUCAUCUGUUGGCCAGCAGACCGAUGUCUAAUGCAGAAGAGAGUGGAGAAGACAUCGGCUUUGAAAACGAUCUGCUGCUUUCUCCCCAUCACCAGUACCAAGUGAGACUGUGGUCUCAGGAGAUAGUGUGGAUCUAGAAAGCCUAGACGUGUAUGACCCAGAUUUGGAGACCUCAACACCAACUCAUCUCCCAGUCACUCACUCCCAGCAACAAGGCACAACCACCAGACAGGCGAAAAGACCUAAGAUGACAAAGACAGUACAGGAGCACUACAUCCACCUGAGGCUACAGCAGCAGCAUCAGGAAUGGAUGUCAACCCAGAUGGCACAACAGCAGCAGCAGCAGGAGCAGCGUAUGAUGGAGACUCUGAUGGAGUCAAACGAAAGAUCUACCGGAACGGGCUGUCUCCCUUAUGCUUUUUUUUUUAAAUUAUUAUUUUAAUUCAACUAUGCGAGCUUUUGUUUAGGCAGAGUAGUUUCCUAACCUGAGUCAGGCUAGUAGUUUCCUACUCUGAAGAAAGUCUAUGACUGAAAAGCUUGCAGAUUUAAAAAAGAAAAAUAUUUACUUCUUAAAAUCUUAAAACAGGAGUUCUCUCAUAAUUAUUAGGGCACUCUUACAGUUCAUAGCUAGUUUAUCUACAAUUUAAAAUUAAACACAUAAUUCUCAUCAAGGACAUUCUGAUAGCUGAACAAUAAUGUUCGUAUGAAAUUAAAUUAAUGGAAUUACCAUGCAGAAAUGUGACCAUCAAUUUUUAUUAGAUGUAUUUAUGAUGGCUAUGAAAGUUAAACUAAUGAAAAUAAUGAA